GAUGAACGCUAGCGGCAGGCCUAACACAUGCAAGUCGAGGGGCAGCGAGAUCAAAGCUUGCUUUGAUUGUCGGCGACCGGCGCACGGGUGCGUAACGCGUAUGCAACCUACCCAAAACAGGGGGAUAACACUGAGAAAUUGGUACUAAUACCCCAUAACAACAGAAGAGGCAUCUCUUUUGUUUGAAAACUCCGGUGGUUUUGGAUGGGCAUGCGUUGUAUUAGCUAGUUGGUGAGGUAACGGCUCACCAAGGCGACGAUACAUAGGGGGACUGAGAGGUUAACCCCCCACAUUGGUACUGAGACACGGACCAAACUCCUACGGGAGGCAGCAGUGAGGAAUAUUGGUCAAUGGACGCAAGUCUGAACCAGCCAUGCCGCGUGCAGGAUGACGGCUCUAUGAGUUGUAAACUGCUUUUGUAUGAGGGUAAACUCAUCUACGUGUAGGUGACUGAAAGUAUCAUACGAAUAAGGAUCGGCUAACUCCGUGCCAGCAGCCGCGGUAAUACGGAGGAUUCAAGCGUUAUCCGGAAUUAUUGGGUUUAAAGGGUGCGUAGGCGGUUUGAUAAGUUAGAGGUGAAAUAUUAGGGCUUAACCCUGAAACUGCCUCUGAUACUGUCGAGCUAGAGAGUAGUUGCGGUAGGCGGAAUGUAUGGUGUAGCGGUGAAAUGCUUAGAGAUCAUACAGAACACCGAUUGCGAAGGCAGCUUACCAAACUAUAUCUGACGUUGAGGCACGAAAGCGUGGGUAGCAAACAGGAUUAGAUACCCUGGUAGUCCACGCAGUAAACGAUGAUAACUCGCUGUCGGCGAUACACAGUCGGUGGCCAAGCGAAAGCGAUAAGUUAUCCACCUGGGGAGUACGUUCGCAAGAAUGAAACUCAAAGGAAUUGACGGGGGCCCGCACAAGCGGAGGAACAUGUGGUUUAAUUCGAUGAUACGCGAGGAACCUUACCCGGGCUUGAAAGUUACUGACGAAUUCUGGAAACGGGAUUUCCCUUCGGGGCAGGAAACUAGGUGCUGCAUGGUUGUCGUCAGCUCGUGCCGUGAGGUGUCGGGUUAAGUCCCAUAACGAGCGCAACCCCUACCGUUAGUUGCCAUCAGGUGAAGCUGGGCACUCUGGCGGGACUGCCGGUGUAAGCCGAGAGGAAGGUGGGGAUGACGUCAAAUCAGCACGGCCCUUACGUCCGGGGCUACACACGUGUUACAAUGGUAGGUACAGAGGGCAGCUACCCAGCGAUGGGGUGCAAAUCUCGAAAACCUAUCUCAGUUCGGAUUGGAGGCUGAAACUCGCCUCCAUGAAGUUGGAUUCGCUAGUAAUCGCGCAUCAGCCAUGGCGCGGUGAAUACGUUCCCGGGCCU
rnacentral:rRNA from 1 species